ACGGGGCCCGCACAAGCAGUGGAGUAUGUGGUUUAAUUCGAAGCAACGCGAAGAACCUUACCAGGGCUUGACAUCCCUUGAAGCAGCUAGAGAUAGCUGUGUACUUCGGUACAUCGGUGACAGGUGGUGCAUGGUUGUCGUCAGCUCGUGUCGUGAGAUGUUGGGUUAAGUCCCGCAACGAGCGCAACCCCUAUUGUUAGUUGCCAUCAUUCAGUUGGGCACUCUAGCGAGACUGCCGGUAAUAAACCGGAGGAAGUGGGGAUGACGUCAAAUCAUCAUGCCCCUUAUGACCUGGGCUACACACGUGCUACAAUGGUUGGUACAACGAGUUGCGAGUCGGUGACGGCGAGCUAAUCUCUUAAAGCCAAUCUCAGUUCGGAUUGUAGGCUGCAACUCGCCUACAUGAAGUCGGAAUCGCUAGUAAUCGCGGAUCAGCACGCCGCGGUGAAUACGUUCCCGGGCCUU
rnacentral:rRNA from 1 species